rnacentral:tRNA from 1 species
GCGCCUGUAGCUCAGUUGGAUAGAGUAUCGGCCUCCGAAGCCGAGGGUCGCAGGUUCGAAUCCUGCCGGGCGCGCCA